rnacentral:rRNA from 1 species
AUUGAACGCUGGCGGCAGGCCUAACACAUGCAAGUCGGGCGAACGAGGCUUCGGCCAAGUGAGCGGCGAACGGGUGAGUAACACGUAGGAAUCUGCCUGGUAGUGGGGGACAACGUCUCGAAAGGGACGCUAAUACCGCAUACGCCCUACGGGGGAAAGCAGGGGCUCUUCGGACCUUGCGCUAUCAGAUGAGCCUGCGUCGGAUUAGCUAGUUGGUAGGGUAAAGGCCUACCAAGGCGACGAUCCGUAACUGGUCUGAGAGGAUGGUCAGUCACACCGGAACUGAGACACGGUCCGGACUCCUACGGGAGGCAGCAGUGGGGAAUAUUGGACAAUGGGGGCAACCCUGAUCCAGCCAUGCCGCGUGUGUGAAGAAGGCCUUCGGGUUGUAAAGCACUUUAGGUCGGGAGGAAGGUUCGCUGGCUAAUAUCCAGCGGAAUUGACGUUACCGACAGAAUAAGCACCGGCUAACUCCGUGCCAGCCGCCGCGGUAA